UACAGAGGGUGCGAGCGUUGUCCGGAAUCACUGGGCGUAAAGGGCGCGUAGGUGGCGCUCCAAGUCCGUGGUGAAAGCUCGAUGCUCAACAUCGAGUCGGCCACGGAGACUGGAGGGCUCGAGCACUGUAGGGGCAGAUGGAAUUCCGGGUGUAGCGGUGGAAUGCGUAGAGAUCCGGAAGAACACCGGUGGCGAAGGCGGUCUGCUGGGCAGUUGCUGACACUGAGGCGCGACAGCGUGGGGAGCGAACGGG
rnacentral:rRNA from 1 species